rnacentral:rRNA from 1 species
GACGAACGCUGGCGGCGUGCUUAACACAUGCAAGUCGAGCGGUAAGGCCCUUUCGGGGGUACACGAGCGGCGAACGGGUGAGUAACACGUGGGUGACCUGCCCUCAGCUCUGGGAUAAGCCUGGGAAACCGGGUCUAAUACCGGAUAUGACUCCAUGACGCAUGUUGUGGGGUGGAAAGCCUUGUGCGGCUGAGGAUGGGCCCGCGGUCUAUCAGCUUGUUGGUGGGGUGAUGGCCUACCAAGGCGACGACGGGUAGCCGGCCUGAGAGGGCGACCGGCCACACUGGGACUGAGACACGGCCCAGACUCCUACGGGAGGCAGCAGUGGGGAAUCUUGCGCAAUGGGCGAAAGCCUGACGCAGCGACGCCGCGUGAGGGAUGACGGCCU